GAUGAACGCUAGCGGGAGGCCUAACACAUGCAAGCCGAGCGGUAUUGUUUCUUCGGAAAUGAGAGAGCGGCGUACGGGUGCGUAACACGUGUGCAACCUGCCUUUAUCUGGGGGAUAGCCUUUCGAAAGGAAGAUUAAUACUCCAUAAUAUAUUGAACGGCAUCGUUUAAUAUUGAAAGCUCCGGCGGAUAGAGAUGGGCACGCGCAAGAUUAGCUAGUUGGUGAGGUAACGGCUCACCAAGGCGAUGAUCUUUAGGGGGCCUGAGAGGGUGAUCCCCCACACUGGUACGGGGACACGGCCCAGACGCCGACGGGGGGCAGCAGGGGGGAAUAUGGGCAAAGGGGUGCAAGCCUGACCCAGCCACCCCGCGUGAAGGACGACUCCCCUAUGGGUUUUAAACUUUUUUUGUAUAGGGAAAAACCUACCCCCGAGGGGGUAGCUAAAGGUACUAAACAAAAAAGCCCCGGCUAACUCCGU
rnacentral:rRNA from 1 species